GUUUCAGCAGCCGCGGUAAUACGUAGGGUGCGAGCGUUAAUCGGAAUUACUGGGCGUAAAGCGUGCGCAGGCGGUUUUGUAAGCCAGAUGUGAAAUCCCCGGGCUUAACCUGGGAAUGGCAUUUGGGACUGCAAGGCUUGAGUUUGGCAGAGGAGACUGGAAUUCCUGGUGUAGCAGUGAAAUGCGUAGAUAUCAGGAGGAAUACCGAUGGCGAAGGCAGGUCUCUGGGCUAGAACUGACGCUCAUGCACGAAAGCGUGGGGAGCAAACAGGAUUAGAUACCCGUGUAGUCC
rnacentral:rRNA from 1 species